CCUACGGGUGGCAGCAGUGGGGAAUAUUGGACAAUGGGGGCAACCCUGAUCCAGCCAUGCCGCGUGUGUGAAGAAGGCCCUCGGGUUGUAAAGCACUUUCAGUGAGGAAGAACGCCUGGUGGUUAAUACCCAUCAGGAAAGACAUCACUCACAGAAGAAGCACCGGCUAACUCCGUGCCAGCAGCCGCGGUAAUACGGAGGGUGCGAGCGUUAAUCGGAAUUACUGGGCGUAAAGCGCGCGUAGGUGGCUUGAUAAGCCGGUUGUGAAAGCCCCGGGCUUAACCUGGGAACGGCAUCCGGAACUGUCAAGCUAGAGUGCAGGAGAGGAAGGUAGAAUUCCCGGUGUAGCGGUGAAAUGCGUAGAGAUCGGGAGGAAUACCAGUGGCGAAGGCGGCCUUCUGGACUGACACUGACACUGAGGUGCGAAAGCGUGGGUAGCAAACAGGAUUAGAUACCCUUGUAGUC
rnacentral:rRNA from 1 species